GGCGUGCUUAACACAUGCAAGUCGAACGAAGCGCUUAGAUGUAUUUCUUCGGAUUGAAAUUUUUGUGACUGAGUGGCGGACGGGUGAGUAACGCGUGGGUAACCUGCCUCAUACUGGGGGAUGACAGUUAAAAAUGACUGCUAAUACCGCAUAAGCGCACAGUGCUGCAUGGCACAGUGUGAAAAACUCCGGUGGUAUGAGAUGGACCCGCGUCUGAUUAGCUGGUUGGUGGGGUAAUGGCCUACCAAGGCGACGAUCACCAGCCGGCCUGAUAGGGUGAACGGCCACUUUGAGACUGACACACGGCCCACACUCCUACGGGAGGCAGCAUCGGGGAAUAUUGCACAAUGCGUGAAACCCUGAUGCAGCGACACCGCGUGAGCGAAUAAGAAUUUCGGUAUGUAAAGCUCUAUCAGAAGGAAAGAAAAUGACGGUACCUGACUAAGAAACACCGGCUAAAUACAUGCCAACAGCCACGUAAAUACCUAUGGUGCAAGCGUUAUCCGGAUUUACUGGGUGUAAAGGAAGCGUAGACGGUUGUGUAAGUCUGAUGUGAAAGCCCGGGGCUCAACCCCGGGACUGCAUUGAAAACUAUGUAACUAGAGUGUCUGAUAGGUAAGCGUAAUUCCUAGUGUAGCGGAGAACUGCGUAUAUAUUAGGAGGAACACCAUUGGUGAAGGAGGCUUACUGGACGAUCACUGACUUUGAUGCUCGACUGAGUGUGAAGCACACAGGAUUAGAUACCCUGCUAGACCACGUCGUAUACGAUGACUACUAGGUGUCGAGGAGCGCAGCUCUUCGGUGCCUCAGCAAACGCAAUAAGUAGUCCCACUGCGGAGUACGUUCGCACGAAUGAACUCAAACGAAUUGAUGGAGAUCCGCACAAUCGGUGGAGCAUGUGGUUUAAUUCGAAGCAACGCGAAGAACCUUACCCGGUCUUGACAUCUCUCUGAGCGCUCUUUAAUGGGAGUUUUCCUUCGGGACAGAGGAGACAGGUGGUGCAUGGUGUUCGUCAGCUCGUGUCGUGAGAGUGUUGGGGGUAAGUCUCCGCAACGAGCGCAACCCCUAUCUUCUGUAGCCAGCAUUUAAGGUGGGCACUCUGGAGAGACUGCCAGGGAUAACCUGGAGGAAGGUGGGGAUGACGUCAAAUCAUCAUGCCCCUUAUGACCAGGGCUACACACGUGCUACAAUGGCGUAAACAAAGGGAAGCGAACCUGUGAGGGGAAGCAAAUCUCAAAAAUAACGUCUCAGUUCGGAUUGUAGUCUGCAACUCGACUACAUGAAGUUGGAAUCGCUAGUAAUCGCGAAUCAGCAUGUCGCGGUGAAUACGUUCCCGGGUUUUGUACACACCGCCCGUCACACCAUGGGAGUCAGUAACGCCCGAAGUCAGUGACCCAACCGUAAGGAGGGAGCUGCCGAAGGUGGGACCGAUAACUGGGG
rnacentral:rRNA from 1 species